CCAAUAGCGUAUAUUAAAGUUGUUGUGGUUAAAAAGCUCGUAGUUGAACCUUGGGCCUGGCUGGCCGGUCCGCCUCACCGCGUGUACUGGUCCGGCCGGGCCUUUCCCUCUGUGGAACCUCAUGCCCUUCACUGGGUGUGACGGGGAAGCAGGACUUUUACUGUGAAAAAAUUAGAGUGCUCCAAGCAGGCCUAUGCUCGAAUACAUUAGCAUGGAAUAAUGAAAUAGGACGUGCGGUUCUAUUUUGUUGGUUUCUAGGACCGCCGUAAUGAUUAAUAGGGACAGUCGGGGGCAUCAGUAUUCAAUUGUCAGAGGUGAAAUUCUUGGAAUUAUUGAAGACUAACUACUGCGAAAGCAUUUGCCAAGGGUGUUUUCAUUAAUCAGGAACGAAAGUUAGGGGAUCGAAGACGAUCAGAUACCGUCGUAGUCUUAACCAUAAACUAUGCCGACUAGGGAUCGGACGAUGUUAUUUUUUGACUCGUUCGGCACCUUACG
rnacentral:rRNA from 1 species